rnacentral:rRNA from 1 species
AGUGAGCGCUGGCGGUAGGCCUAACACAUGCAAGUCGAACGGCAGCACAGUAAGAGCUUGCUCUUACGGGUGGCGAGUGGCGGACGGGUGAGGAAUACAUCGGAAUCUACUUUUUCGUGGGGGAUAACGUAGGGAAACUUACGCUAAUACCGCAUACGACCUACGGGUGAAAGCAGGGGAUCUUCGGACCUUGCGCGAUUGAAUGAGCCGAUGUCGGAUUAGCUAGUUGGCGGGGUAAAGGCCCACCAAGGCGACGAUCCGUAGCUGGUCUGAGAGGAUGAUCAGCCACACUGGAACUGAGACACGGUCCAGACUCCUACGGGAGGCAGCAGUGGGGAAUAUUGGACAAUGGGCGCAAGCCUGAUCCAGCCAUACCGCGUGGGUGAAGGAGGCCUUCGGGUUGUAAAGCCCUUUUGUUGGGAAAGAAAAGCAGCAGGUUAAUACCCCGCUGUUCUGACGGUACCCAAAGAAUAAGCACCGGCUAACUUCGUG